rnacentral:rRNA from 1 species
AACGUAGGUGGCAAGCGUUGUCCGGAAUUACUGGGUGUAAAGGGAGCGCAGGCGGAAGGGCAAGUUGGGAGUGAAAACUAUGGGCUCAACCCAUAGACUGCUUUCAAAACUGCUUUUCUUGAGUGAUGUAGAGGUAGGCGGAAUUCCCGGUGUAGCGGUGGAAUGCGUAGAUAUCGGGAGGAACACCAGUGGCGAAGGCGGCCUACUGGGCAUUUACUGACGCUGAGGCUCGAAAGUAUGGGGAGCAAACAGGAUUAGAUACCCUGGUAGUCCAUACUGUAAACGAUGAUUACUAGGUGUGGGGGGAUAGACCCCCUCCGUGCCGCAGCUAACGCAAUAAGUAAUCCACCUGGGGAGUACGGUCGCAAGACUGAA